CCUAUUAUCAAGCACCCAACCGUUGCCAGACACUGUGCAAAGUGUACCAUCUUAUUCAAUCCUCACAGCAACCUAACCAUCCUUAUCCUCAUUUUACAGUUGAGAAAACCAAGGAUCAAAGAGUUAAAGUCCCCACUACUCCAAAUGUGGUUUAGGAACAGCAGCAGCAUUACCUGGCCACCUGUAAGGCAUGCUUCCUCGCAAACACUGGAUCAGCAUCAGUAUUUUAUCAGGCUCUCCAGGUGAUUCUUCUGUAACAGUAGCACUGGCUUAAGUAGGUUGUCAUGAAUAUGCAUUUAGAUACUAGCCAUGCCAGGACUCAGUUUAGUCAGUGUUUGUAUAAAAUGUGUAUCCUAGGAAGUAAAGAUUAAUACUAUUUUAUACAUGAGAAAAGAUCCAACUGGACACACACAUUGUGUAGGGCACCCUGGGUCAACCAAGGUCAAGGAGGGUAACUAGGGCUGUGAGCCUUGCAGGUGUGCGCAGGAGUGGACUCUGUCCACGUUCACAGCAAUGUGGCCCCCACCCUGACCCAGCAAGCUGCAUUAGUUUUCCAAAGACCCGCAAGUGCACGCAUGUGGCUCAGUGUCUACACCCUCUCUACUCCACACAGGUAGGGAGGUGCUCUCUUUGAUGAGCUCAAAGGGAAGAUUGUCCACUCCUCUUUCUGUGGCUGCCAUUGCUACUGCCGAGACUGGGCUAUGAACCCGGUGUCAGCUCAUGCUCCAUGGUGGAAGAGCAACCCUUGUGGCUUUCCCUGCCUCUUGAAUGCACCUCUUGCUGACGUUAUCCAAACAUUCUCGGGGCCAAAGCCAAAGCCCCGAUAUAUGUCUGGGAAUCCCCACAGGUAUCUCCUGUGUUCAGAGUUCCUCAUGCAGAUUCCGGCAGGUCUGGUCAACAAGUCACCAGACAUCUCAGCCAUGCUGGAGCCACCUCAGUGAAGACAGCUGAAGCUCUCAAUGGGACACCCUUCGGUUAGCAAGGAGGGUGGAUUCCACAAAGGCUACUGUUACUACAAAUAACAGAGGAGGCUGCUGUGCUUGUGCUGCCCCCUCUCUCACAUCCCUGUGUGGGGUAUGGGCAUUGCCUGUCUGUCUCCCCUGCAGGCCUGCAACCUGUAGCUCCCGGGAGGCUGCCUCCUUUCCUGAGAUACUUCCCUUACUCAUCCUAAAGCUCCGUGAAAUUCAGGCUCAGGCCUGAGUCCCUGGCUCCCAGGUGAUGUGAUCCAGUGGAGCUCAUCAGGGCUGCCCUUGCUACCUCCUUUCUGCAGAUGUCCCUGACCUGGCGUCAAGGAGGUGGGACUUCUCCCAGCAAUCUCUAAUUUCAGGGGGAUAGUGAGUCAAGACACGGGGCAGAGGAGAUUACACCAAGUACUGUAAAACUAACCAUUGCUUUUGAUUUCAUCAUAACCGCUUUGUGAAGUGAAACAUUUGCUGAUGAGGAAACCGAGGCAGAUCUAAGCGAGUGAGUCAGUUAGGCAGCUAAGUAACACAGUUAAUACGUGGUACAGACUGGGUUAAAAUCCAUAUCUGGCUGCCU
rnacentral:lncRNA from 12 species